rnacentral:rRNA from 1 species
UUAGAUACCCUAUUAUUUUGAAUGAAAUAAAGUUGCCUGGUUAGUAGUAGUUAUGUUCUUGAAAAUUAAAGAAGAUGGCGGUAUUUUAGUCUAUUCAGAGGAACCUGUCCUAUAAUUGAUGAUCCACGAUUUAUUUUACUUAUUUUUUUUUAGUUUGCAUAUCGCCGUAGCUUGAAUAUUUUUAAAGGAGUAAAACGUUCAAAAGGUUUUUUAAAAAAAUAAAUCAGGUCAAGAUGUAGCUUAUAAAUAAGAAGAGAUGGGUUACAAUAAAUAUAUUUAUUAUGAAUUAGUAAUUGAAAAUUAUUAUGAAGGUGGAUUUGAUAGUAAUAUUAUUUAAAUUUAUAAUAUGAUUUUAGCUCUAAAGUAUGUACACAUCGCCCGUCC